UCUCAUCCAUCUCUCUCGGCCACGCGCGGCCUUCCCUGCCACUCCAGAGGGCUAUCUGGCAGCUCGCCGUGACCUUCACCUGGACGCCGGACCGGUUGAACCUCGGGCCCUGCUCAUCGCAGAUUCGACAGCGACCGCGCGGGUUCCUCCGCGGUGUCCCUCGCGACGAAAAUCGAUGCCACGUGGCGGCGUCGUGACGUCACACGACAGCCGAUAUGAGCACUGCGUUGUGAUCACAACUCAACACAUUUGUCAAUAGCACUGUGGCCUUCAAAGGAAACAAAUAUUCGUUUCGGUUGAUGACCCAUCCAAUGAUAUGCUAUGAAGAAGGGCCAUUGUCUGAAACGUCGUCAUAUAUUUUUCCCUUUUUAAGGCCACAGUGUAAUUUACCAAUGUGUUGAUUUUUGUUUGUAUUGUUAAUUAGGCUUGUGCACCACUUGUUUACUAUUGCCAAGACGCAGCAGAACUAGACUCAAGCCCCGUUCGAGCUCUCGGGUUUGUGUGAAUGCCAGAGGCUCACGGCGUCAAACCAAGGUCCCUUUUAGGACUCCAAUGGUUGCGUGUCAAUGUCUGAGGCUCACGGCAAAAAGAGGGAGGGAGGGAGAGUUUAAAGAGCGACACAGCCGCAGUCAAUCGCUUUAUUCGUCACCACGCGACCUUAAACGCUGCCCAGGAACACGAGGACCAAGUCUCUGCUUCCCGGGUCCAGUGGUUCUCAUCAGUUCAACAGUUCUUUGGAGAAAUUGUGAAAUGUUUAGGACCACUGGAGCCGGAGGGGCAUCUCCGUCAAAGCCGAGUUCGACGUGGUGCCGCACUCAAAGCGGUGGAAAUUCCACAUUCUCACGACGGGGGCGAGUCAACCCACGAGACAAUCGGUGUUAUAUUUGCUGUGUGCCUAUACAAGCAUGCACAUCAAAUGUAAAUUGAAUGUAAUAAAAAUUGUUAUAAUAAGUUAUUAAACAAUACCUUAGUUAACUAUAGUUACUAUACAUCGAAUUGUAUGUUAAUAUAUUAAUAUAGUUAAUUGUAUGUUAAUAUAUACAUUACAUUGUUCUUGAAUUAUAUUGUGUUUGGCCUCAUA